rnacentral:rRNA from 1 species
GACAGAGGAGCCAAGCGUUGUCCGGAUUGACUGGGCGUAAAGCGCACGCAGGCGGUCGUGCACGUGGGGUGUGAAAACUGGCGGCUUAACUGCCAGAGGCCACCUCAUACGGCGCGACUCGAGCCCGUGAGAGGUCCAUGGAAUUGCCGGUGUAGUGGUGAAAUGCGUAGAGAUCGGCAGGAACACCCAGGGAGAAAUCAGUGGACUGGCACGGUGCUGACGCUCAGGUGCGAAAGCGUGGGGAGCGAACAGG